rnacentral:misc_RNA from 1 species
GAUGAAGAACGCAGCGAAAUGCGAUACGUAAUGUGAAUUGCAAAUUCAGUGAAUCAUCGAGUCUUUGAACGCACAUUGCGCCCCCUGGUAUUCCGGGGGGCAUGCCUGUCCGAGCGUCAUUGCUGCCCUCAAGCACGGCUUGUGUGUUGGGCCCCGUCCUCCGAUCCCGGGGGACGGGCCCGAAAGGCAGCGGCGGCACCGCGUCCGGUCCUCGAGCGUAUGGGGCUUUGUCACCCGCUCUGUAGGCCCGGCCGGCGCUUGCCGAUCAACCCAAAUUUUUUAUCCAGGUUGACCUCGGAUCAGGUAGGGAUACCCGCUGAACUUAAGCAUAUCAAUAAGCGGAGGA